rnacentral:lncRNA from 1 species
AUAUGGAGGUCCCUACCCAAUUACAAUCACCACAGUUAAGCAGGGAAGAAAGAGAAAGGGAGAAAAAGUGGGGAACCUCACUUCUAAGACCUGUGAUCUGAAAUUGAAAUAUUCAUGCCUAAGCUACAGGACACAUUAGAACAAACCCAUUAUCAGGGCAAUAUCAUCAGCUUAAGUUCUUACAAUCACAAUGUUCUAGAAUUCUAGCCAUCCAGUUGUAUAAUAUCAUAAAGGAUGUGCUUGAAUCUUUUGAAACCACAUGAGAUAAUGCACGGCCAAAAUAAGGAGGAAACUGGAGGCAGCAGAACCAAGAGACUCUGAGAGCCACAUGAACAGAGUAAGGAAUACAGUUUACAUCUUCUGUUCUAUAAUUUCUGAUUGUGUAUGAAGAAAAAAGCAAUUCAAUGCCUCAAUGAGAAAUAUGAAGAGGACAUGAAAAAUUGACAUGAUUGACAAGUGAUUGGAACUGGACAGAUUCCACCAUUAUAAUGGAAAUGAGCACUGAAGUUCCAGGCACCGAUUCCAUCCUUCCUAACUUCAGCGCGUGGAGUGAAUCACCAAGCUGUAUUCAGAAACAGUGCCUUAGUGUCCUCCACGUCCUGACUGAAUUUUCAUCUGCCUAA